AUUGAACGCUGGCGGCAGGCCUAACACAUGCAAGUCGAGCGGAUGAAGGGAGCUUGCUCCUGGAUUCAGCGGCGGACGGGUGAGUAAUGCCUAGGAAUCUGCCUGGUAGUGGGGGAUAACGUCCGGAAACGGGCGCUAAUACCGCAUACGUCCUGAGGGAGAAAGUGGGGGAUCUUCGGACCUCACGCUAUCAGAUGAGCCUAGGUCGGAUUAGCUAGUUGGUGGGUAAAGGCCUACCAAGGCGACGAUCCGUAACUGGUCUGAGAGGAUGAUCAGUCACACUGGAACUGAGACACGGUCCAGACUCCUACGGGAGGCAGCAGUGGGGAAUAUUGGACAAUGGGCAAAAGCCUGAUCCAGCCAUGCCGCGUGUGUGAAGAAGGUCUUCGGAUUGUAAAGCACUUUAAGUUGGGAGGAAGGGCAGUAAGUUAAUACCUUGCUGUUUUGACGUUACCAACAGAAUAAGCACCGGCUAACUUCGUG
rnacentral:rRNA from 1 species